rnacentral:tRNA from 1 species
CGGCCUGUGCGGUAGUGGCCGGCUGUCGCGGGGCUGCCGUCUCCGCCGAGGCGGCGAUCGGUGCCAUGACGACGAUCCCGGCGGCGCAGGCCGC